UACGUAGGGGGCAAGCGUUGUCCGGAUUUAUUGGGCGUAAAGAGCGUGUAGGCGGCCAGGUAGGUCUGCUGUGAAAACUCGAGGCUUAACCUCGAGAUGUCGGCGGAAACCAUCUGGCUAGAGUCCGGAAGAGGAGAAUGGAAUUCUCGGUGUAGCGGUGAAAUGCGUAGAUAUCGAGAGGAACACCUGCGGCGAAGGCGGGUUGCUGGGCUGAUACUGACGCUGAGGCGCGAAAGCCAGGGGAGCGAACGGG
rnacentral:rRNA from 1 species